ensembl:lncRNA
GGGAAAUUCCACUUCUGCCAUGUGUACGCAAUGGUUUUGAUAACAGUAAAUGGACAUUAACCUUGCCAUAAACAUGUUAUCUGAGUAGCUUAGAGGAACCUUCAUAUGCCAGUCAUACUCUUUGUAUGUCUUGCUUAGUAGCUACUUCACAUGUUCACUUGUAUCUAGAGAUGUAUGGAUGAUCGCACCGGUUUCAAAUCACAGCAUUCUCCCACUACAGAAAUUCAUGAGCUUAGCAGCAUGGGAUAAAGUACACUGAGUCAGCAGCGGUGAAAGUAUUUAAGGGCUGGGUGCAUCAGACAAACUUACAGAUGAACUUCCUGAAAUAAGAGAGAAGACUCCUACUAUCCCCUAAGAGAUUCUGAGUUAAGAUGAAACCCCAAGUUAUAAUCUUUAUUUACUUAGGAGGACUCAUAUUACACUUCGUGAAAUGUUACAGCAGUGGCAAUUUUGACGCUUAUCCAGCUAUAUGUCAGACAAUGGAAGUUGUUCACAGCACCUAUCUACCUCAGAACACUGAACCACCUUUUAAAGUUAUCCCAGAUAUGAUCAGAGUUAAUUCUUCAGAUGUGGGAAAAUCCUUUAAUGUAACACUGAAAGCUGAUGGCUAUGAAUCAUUCCGUGGUUUUUUGUUGAAAGCACAAAAACCAGACAAAACAACACCUCAGGGGAUUUUUUCUUUGGUGGAUACAAGCUUAAGCAGACUUCAGACAUGUAAUGGUAUGAAGGAUACAGCUGUAACGCAAACAAAUAACCGAAAAAAGGCUGAAAUAAUGGUCAAAUGGAAUGUUUCUGAAACCGGAGAUUAUUUUUUCAGGGCUACAUUCGUUAAGACAUAUGAAAUAUUCUGGAUCAUAAGAAAUCUCUUCUUCAAUCACGACACCAUCCUUUACAACAGACCUUGUAACAUCAGACCCUGUAACAUCAGACCUUGUAACACCAGGCCCAGUAACACCAGAUCCUGUAACACCAGACCCUGUAACACCAGACCCUGUAACAACAACCACCAUAACAAUAUCAACAUCAGCAAAAUUAUCCUCAGUCACCAAAACUGAUCCACCGCACAAAUAUUUGGUUGAAUCAUCGCUAACUCUACAUUUGCUCAGUUAUCUUUGUCUUGCUGUGUGUGGUCCUUUCCUAGCGAAAGCCUGUGUAUGUGUUUGGACAAAGGUGACAUCAUUUCUGUCUUUGGCAUUUUCAUUGGCUGCUUUCAUCCUCUUACUGAUAGACAACAAACAAGUUGAGGCUGAAAUUCUGGCAGGAGUAGCAGCAGGCCUCAACUUGUGUCAAACCAUUCUAAUAUUCUUUCUCUGUGGACCGUGCCAUGAAUUAAGAAAGAUUUUCUACUGGGGGCUCAGAUUGGUUGCAUUCAUAAACGUUUGUUUUACAAUUGCUACAAUAUAUGUUGGUCUUGUGGAGCACUGCUCCAAACCACGCCGCUUCUGGCCCGUCAUAUUGAUGGGAGUUUAUUUAGCAUGCCAAUUGCUGUCAUGUCCCUUUUUUAUAUAUGGGGAACUAAAAGAAAAGCAGCAACGACAAACUACAUCAAGCAAUCAGAAUUGCAGGGUUUCUUGCUGGUGUACGUGUUUGGUCAUUUUUACUGGGAUGAAUUUAGCAUUUACUGUAGCACUGGUAUUAGGAAUAUUUUUAUCAUUGUAUGUUUGAUACCUAAAGAAACAAAAGCCUUGAUAUUUUCAUUAUGUGAUGAUGUUUUACUUAUAUUUAACUUUUCUACAUCAAUAAUUUCAAGCAGUCCAUGUAAUAUGUAUAUACUGUAUGUUGGCUUUCUGAUAUUUGGUUCUGAAUGUUUCUUUUCACUACGUAUAUCAUAUAUUCCUGUAACCAAUGCUUAUGAUCAAUGUAGAAUUUGUAUUUGUAGAGAAAUGUCUAUAUUUAUUGUGAAAAGAGGAAACCUACAAUCCCCUCUGAAAUUAUUGAAAUGGCAAAGCCAAUUUUAUACACUGAAGAUAAUUUUAUACACCAAUAUAAUUUCCUGAUAUGUACAUCUAGAUGUGUUAAACAAUUUAAGCACCUUCAAUAUUGGAACAUGUGACUGAUAGGAGUUUCUUCUUGCCCAUAUGUGUCCUGUUAAAUUGAUUGUUAAAACAGUUAAUAGCUCUUAAUGUCUACUCUUGGUUUGAUCCCUGGGUUUUUCCUGUGAAGACCGCAUUUGUUGUUAAAAAGUAUAAACCAACAUGAAGACAAGAAAGCUGUCUAUGGGAGAAAAGAAAGCCAUUUUGAAACUGUGAAAAGAGGAAAAAAUCUAUCAGAGCCAUUUCAGAAGCAUUGGGUAUAGCCAAUAUAGCAAUUUGGAGUGUCCUGAAAAUGAAAAAAAUAUCCCUGAUGUACAGUGUAACAACCAGAGAUCAAACAGUUUGCCAAGGAAAACAGCAGCAGUUGUUGACAGAAUAAUUGUGAGAGCUGUAAAGAAGAACCCCAAAACAGCAGUCAGUGACAUCACAAACAACCUCCACAGGGCAGAAGUGACGGUAGCACAAUCCACCGUUUGAAGAAGACUUUGAGAGCAGAAAUAUAGAGGCCAUACCAGAAGAUGCAAACCACUCAUCAGCAGUAAGAAUCGGAAAGCCAGAUUGGAAUUUGCAAAGAAAUACAGAGAUGAGUCACAAAUGUUAACCUCAACCAAAGUGAUGGAAAGGCCAAAGUAUGGAGAAAGAAAGGUUCUGCUCAUGCUCCAAAACAUACAAGCUCAUCUGUCAAACAUGGCGGAGGUAGUGUCAUGGCUUGGGCUUGCAUGGCUGCUUCUGGUACAGACCCACUAAUAUUUAUUGAUGAUGUAACUCAUGAUGGAAGCAGCAGAAUGAAUUCAGAAGUUUACAGGAACAUUUUGUCUGCCAAUUUGUAGAGCAAUGCAUCCAAUCUAAUUUGGAGGAACUUCAUCAGGCAGUGACAAUGACCCAAAACACACUGCCAACUCCACAAAGUACUUUAUCAAGGGGAAAAAGUGAAAGGUUUUAUACUGGACAACUCAAUCACCAGAACAUAACCCAAUUGAGCAUACAUUUGACCUCCUGAAGAGGACACUGAAAGGAGAAACCCCCCCAAAACAAAUAACAACUGAAAGAAGCUGGGGUAAAAGCCUGGAAAAGCAUCACACAAGAAGAAUGCAACAGUUUGGUGAUGUCAGUGGGUCGCCAACUUGAUGCAGUUAAUGCAAGCAAGGGAUAUGCAACCAAAUAUUAAGUAUUAUUUACUUUACUUUAAAUAUGUUUGAAUUGAUCUGUUCCAAUACUGUAGCUCACUUAAAAAAUGGGUGGCCUGCAAUCAAAGGUGGCAUUUUCUAUGUUGUUUAGCACAUCUAUUUGUAAAUAUUAUGACAUACAACCUGAAAUUCUGAUCUAUUGUCUCAUAUUCAUCUGCUGAUCUCAAACCCAAAUGCCUUUAGUGUAUAGAUUGGCCUUGCCUUUCCAAUACUUUUGGAGGGGACUGUAAAUCCCUUAGCAUUCACAACCAUUUGUCCAGUAAACUGGAGAGGCUUCACCAAUUUUUAAUUGUGUUGGUGUCAUUAGGGAAGUUUAAACAGAUAACAGCAAACACUCCUGACAUCUAAUUUAUGAGGAUGGCCUUAAAUAAUAUUUGACAUGAGCCUUUCUUUUAAAAACUCUUAUCAACAAAGCGUGAUAACAUUUUAUUGAUCCUGACCAAAUUACACUGUUCUCUGCACUCAGUCAUGUUGAUGCAUGAUAUUUACAGUUCACUUCACUCUCAGCAAAUGUACAAUAGUGCACUUCAGAUAACUUGUACAGAGCAUACAUUAGUCAUUGGGUGUGACCAUAUUCCUGAUUCCCAUUCCUCUCAUGUGAUAUUUCUCUUUCAGCUGGGAUGAUAUUAGUUUGUUCUGCAAUAAUGUCACACUGCAUAAUUUUAUUGUGCAGGACAUAAAAAUGUAUUUCUUCAAUACACUGGUUUCAAAAUGAUCAGCAGCCCUACAAUUAAUAUAUUGUGAUCACUGCCCUGUCUUCCUGUAAUGUUUAACAAGGUUUGAGAAACUUGUAGAAGGAAUCUUUAUUCAGCUUUAUUUUAAGCUUCUUUACAGUUUUUUUCAUGUGGAAUUUCCUCUUCAAGUCAGACCACAGUAUUUCAAUAGAUUUUACAUCUGGAGACUGAGAUGAUUUUGUUUCUUUAAAAAUUUACAUUGAUUUGAAAGAAUACUUGUUCAUCGUUUUUGUGAAAGUGGCCACGUCACCUCUAUCUAUAGCCUAGUCUAGACUUCCUGGCAGAGGUAACAAGGUUUUGGGCUGAAAUACCAUAGUAGUACUCAUGAUGGCAAGCAACAGUCUUCACAAGAGCCCCUGAACCACCAACCACAAAAAAACCACAAGACUUCAGUCAUCCACCGCCAUAUUUUACACUGGGAUAUCAGGUGCUUCUUCUUGUAUGCUAUCCCCUUUAGUCUCCAAACACGCUGAUAAUGUUUAUGACCAAAAUGUUUAAUGAGAUGUAUAUUAAUAAUUUUGGCACAUAUUUGUGAGAGAACAUGCUAUUGUUAAUAAAACUAACUCAACUGAGUUUUUUUUCUUUUUAUUUGAAUUAUUGUGUAAUGGGCACUGCACUGCAUAAACGAUGUAUCUUAUCUUAUGUCUUUCGGAAGUAAUUGGUAUUACGGGUCCUUUGGUUAAAUUUUUAACAUCCAGAUCCAGUAGGUUUAUUGCACAUACAAUCAGAUUUUGAUUGUAUGUGCAACAAACCUACAACCUCAGAUUUUUAGCAAUCAUUGUACAACUGCACAAUCCCAAUGGUACUCUCUUAGAAAGUCAGUAAAAUAUCUUAAAUCACAAAUAAGUGAAUAUU